AUCUAUGGCCAUGCCAUCCUAAACAAGCCCAGUGUCUCAUCUCGGAAGCUAAGCAGAGUAAGGCCUGGUUAGUACUUGGAUGGGAGACCACCUAGGAAGACCAGGUGCUGUAGGCA
rfam:Pteropus alecto contig23975, whole genome shotgun sequence.